rnacentral:rRNA from 1 species
GAUGAACGCUAGCGGGAGGCCUAACACAUGCAAGCCGAGCGGUAUUGUUUCUUCGGACAUGGGAGAGCGGCGUACGGGUGCGUAACACGUGUGCAACCUGCCUUUAUCUGGGGGAUAGCCUUUCGAAAGGAAGAUUAAUACUCCAUAAUAUAUUGAACGGCAUCGUUUAAUAUUGAAAGCUCCGGCGGAUAGAGAUGGGCACGCGCAAGAUUAGCUAGUUGGUGAGGUAACGGCUCACCAAGGCGAUGAUCUUUAGGGGGCCUGAGAGGGUGAUCCCCCACACUGGUACUGAGACACGGACCAGACUCCUACGGGAGGCAGCAGUGAGGAAUAUUGGUCAAUGGGUGCAAGCCUGAACCAGCCAUCCCGCGUGAAGGACGACUGCCCUAUGGGUUGUAAACUUCUUUUGUAUAGGGAUAAACCUACCCUCGAGAGGGUAGCUGAAGGUACUAUACGAAUAAGCACCGGCUAACUCCGUG